ensembl:lncRNA
GUUUCAUCAAAAUCCUUUGAAGAACCUGUACCCAACUGAGGUUUUGUGUAUGAUUACCUAAGCACCACGGGGGGUAAAAUACACCAACCCCACUCCUGUUAUGAAAACAUGUAUUUUAUCAUAAUGGAAUGUGUGUGGCUCACAAUAGCUGCACCUGGGAAAAGCAAAAACCCAUCUGUGCAUUCACCCACUUGGCAGAUAAAUGGGAAGGUGUAUGCAGGAGCUCGAAAACAGUAACAGAAGUAGCCCAAUUCAUGGCAUAUGAAAAACCAGAUUUGCAAGUUUUGGAGGAGGUCAAAAGUGAAUCAUCAGAUUACUCAUGCAUGGAUAAUGAAGAUGAUAAUGACUUUGAUGUUGGCCAUGUGAGCCAAAGUUCCUGUUACAGUGAAAUGAAGAAAGAAUCAACUGAUACAGACAUGGAGAAUGCAAGCCUUCUUGAUUCAGAUGAUGAAGAAAAUGGCAAUUGCAUCCUGUACAAUAUAGUAAGGAGCUCCUGCAAAAGAGGAAGGCAAGGGAGGUGACAAGAAUGGCCUGCCAUAAGAAAAGGAAAGCUAAGCACAUGUGCUGUCAGUGUAAGAUGUGUGUAUGGAACAUGCACUUGUCAUCUUUGAAGACUGUCUUGGGUGUGACAAUUGAAGCAAAGAUUAUUUUUGUUGUACAAUUCUGUCUUAGUUACUUUUCUCAUUGCUGAGACACCUGAAAGUUAAAGGAGGAGAGGUUUAUUUAGCUCACAGUUUGUAGAGGUUUCAGUCUAUGAUUGGUUGGCUCAAGGUAGAGUGUCAUGGUAGAAGGGCAAUGCAGAGGAGAACCAGUUCAUGGCAAGAAAAAGACAGCAAACACAAGCAAGCAAAGGGCCUUAGCAGCUUUUUUCUGCCCCUUUUAUACUUUAUCUAGGUUACUGGAAUUAGGCUGUGUCAAACCAAUCAGUGGACUGAUUUACUACUCACACACCCUUAAUCUCAGCUUUGUACCAUGAAUCAAUCACACUCUAGAUCCAGCCACCUCUGAAAAAGCCCCACCUAUGAUGGCAUGAGGCUUUCAGGGGACACUUAAACACAAGCCAUAACAUUCUGUCCCUGGAUCCCCAAAGACUCCUGAAUAUCCCUUUAUGAAACAGCCAUUUUAGUCCACCUCCAAGAGUUGCCAAAGGCCCAUCAGUUUCAGCAUUGCUGAAAAGUCCAAGUCUGAAAUCUCCUCUGAGAUAUAAGGCAAACUCUUAGCUGCAACAAAUGAAAAGAAAGCUAGACACUUCCAACAUUCAAUGGCACAAUAUAUACAUUUCCAUUACAAAAGUUACAAACGAGGAUAGCAAGGAAUGGGAACAAAGCAAGAUCAAAAUCCAGCAGGGCAAACAUUAAAUCCCACAGUUCCACUUCUAGCAUCCCCAGAAAUCUAUGACAAGUUGUGAAUCCAAAGGGCUUAGGUGGCUCCACCCCUAUGGCACUUCUGAUGGUUGUAGCUCCCAUGGCUUUUCUCUUGGACUCAUCCUGCUCCUUCUUUGCAACUUUCCUCAGAUAAUCCAUGUUCCUGGCUUCUCCAAACUUCUGCGGUCUUUACCCCACCUUAGGCUUCACACUCACAGCAUCAUGCACUGCUCUCUCAGGGGCACACUGCCUGGCCUUCCUCUGAAACCUGGGUGGAAGCCAUCCUGACCCCACAACUCUUGCAUUCUGGAUGGACCUAAAACCAGUACCACAUGGAUGACUCCAAGGUCUGCUGCCAGCUGUAGCAGAAGCCAGGCUUCCUUCUCUCUUGGCUGUAGGGGGUCCAGUGCCUAUGAACCAAAUCCUGAGGAACAACCUCCAUAGGCUGUUGCCAUUCUGGAACAUGGUGGUCUUCUCAAAGCAGUAUUUCACUUUUGAAAUUUUGAGGCUGGAAAGGAUGGAGUCCUGUUGCUUCUUGUGAUGUCCUCAGGUCAUUUUUUCUGUUCUCCUGUUCUUUCAAAGCAAUCAAGAUCUCCUCUGCUUUAUCUUUAUAGUCCACAGCUUUACUGGAGCUUCCUUUCUGGCCAAAUUUAAAACAUUUCAAAUCAUUCUUCUGGGCUCUGCUCUUGAUUUUCAACAUAAAUAUGGCUAAAAGCACCCAACAGUAGCCACCCCACUGCCUCAACAUUAGACUGCCUUGAAAUUUCUUCUGUGAGGUUAAUUAGCCCAUAACCCUUAAUCUCAAUCUAAGGUAAAGUCUCUGGACACAAAAAAAAUGCAGACAAACUUUCUACCAAGCCAUUACACCCAUAGCCUGGAGUACAACAGCCAAUGUAGUCCUUCUUCCCAGCAGAAACCUCCAGAGCCUAGUCUUUACCAGCAGCAUUUCUAUGAGCAUUCUGGUCUUCUGAGCUCUGAUCAGAAUUCCACAUCAUCUCCAGCCUCAGGCAUUCUAGCUGUACUUUUUCAGCUAGCAUCUCCAAAUCUUUCCUCUUUCUCUUCCCACAAGCCAGCUCCAAAGGCUCCUAAACCACAUGGUCAGGUACAGUCACAGCAACAACCUGACUCUUGGUACCAAAUUCUGUCUUAGUCACUUUUCUCACUGCUGAGACAAAAUACUCAACACCCAAAGUUAAAGGAGGAAUGGUUUAUUUAGCUCACAGUUUGUAGAAGUUUCAGUCCAUAAUUGACUGGCUCCAAGGCAGACUGGCAUGGCAGAAGGGGAGUGCAGAGGAGAAACAGUUUAUGGCAAGCAGAAGACAGCAAACACGAGCAAGCAGGGGGCCUUAGCAGCUUUUUUUCUGCCCUUUUUAUACUCUAUCUAGGCUACUGGGAUUAGGUUGUGCCAAACCAAUCAGUGAACUGAUUUAGUAAUCACACACCCUUAAUCCCAUCAUUGUACCAUGAAUCAAUCACACACUCUAGAUCCGGCCACCUCUGAAAAAGCCCCACCUAUGAUGGCAUGAGGCUUUGGGGGCACAUCUAAACACAAGCCAUAACAAGUUCUAUUGGUAUUUUC